GAAUAUAAAUAAUUAUUGAUUUUAUAAAUAAUUUAUUUAAUAUAAAAAAAGAAAUUUUAAUUUUAGUAUUAGUAUAGAAAAAAUUAAUAUUAUUAUAGUUAAUUAGUAUUGUGAAAGAAAUUAUUUAAAUAUAAAAAAGAAGAAUUAAAAUUUUGUACCUUGUGUAUCAGGGUUGGUUAAUUAAUAUUUAAAUAUUUAAUAUUCUCGAAUUUAAAAGAGCUAAUUAUUUAUUAAUUUUAUUGUGAAAUAAAUAUUUAUAAUAAGUAAUUAGAAAUGAAACGUUAUUCGUUUUUAAAUAUAUCUAGUUUUUAAAGAAAUAAAUUAAAUUUACUUAUUAAUAUUCAAAAAUUUAAUUUUUUAAUAUUUUGUUUAUUAAUAAGGAAUUUUUUUAGGGAUAAGCUUAAAAAAAAAUUUUUAUAAUUAAUUUAAAAUAAAAUAAUUUAUAGGAUUAUAAUUUUCUAUUAAUAAAAAAAUGUUAUAAUUAAUUAUUUUAUAAAUUUUAUUUUUAUUUAAUUUAAUUUUUUUAUUUAAAUUUUAUUAUUAAUUAUUUAUAAUAAGAAAUUAUGAUUAAAUUAGUAAAGUUUAGUGUAAUUUUAAUUUUAAAAUUAAGGUUAAAUUAAGGAAUUCGGCAAAAUUAUUUUUCACCUGUUUAAUAAAAACAUGUCCUUAUGAUAAUAAUUUAAGGUCUAAUCUGCCCACUGAGGAUUUAAAUGGCCGCGGUAUUUUGACCGUGCGAAGGUAGCAUAAUAAUUAGUUUCUUAAUUAGAAGCUGGAAUGAAUGAUUGGAUGAGAAAAUAACUGUCUCAGUUUAAUUUAAAUUUGAAUUUUAUUUUUAAGUAAAAAAGCUUAAAUAAGAUUAAAAGACGAGAAGACCCUAUAGAGUUUUAUAUUAUUAAUAUUUUAAAUUUUUUAGUUUGAAGAUUUUAGGUUAUUAAUAAUAUUUUGUUGGGAGUGACAGAAAAAUUAAAUAAACUUUUUUUAUAUGUUUAC
rnacentral:rRNA from 1 species